GCGGAGCUACAAAGAUGCUCACCAGAUUAGUGCCAUAGGAGCAACAGUGUGUGAGGACUAAAAAUAUCAUCAAAACAUGCACUGGUGACAAAACAUUUAACAACGUUUGCAGCACGCUGGGUUUCACAGCAUUUCUGUUAUUUCGAGGGAAAGGUGUGGUGGUGUGGACCUGGGAGUGAGACUCAUGUGGCAGUGGUAACAACACAUAGAGGAGAACAGUACCUGAGGUUGGAGGUGGUUACUCUGCAUCCACCAUGAUGUUGUCUGAGGAAGGCCACCGCUGUACUUCGGUCUCAUGUGUGAAAUCCAACUAUUGUGGUCAUGUCUUUCCUGAGGACAUCAUUGUCAAACACAGGAGCCAACGGAAGUUAUCUUAUCAGGGAGUAGAUAAGGGGAGCGGCAUCUGACAUGUGCCUAUCAACACUUCAGAUCAAACAUAAUCAGAACACACUCCUAGGUAGGAGGAGGAAGUGUGUGUGUGUGUGUGUGUGUGAAUGUGGUGGGUGGUGAGUACAAUUCUAUCCUGAUUGUGAGGACAUGCAAGCACUAACAUAAGCUCUAUAGCAAAGCAUAGUCAGAGCUUUAUGGAUGGACUUGGGUGCACCAAAGUGUUACUGUUUGUCAGUGACGAAGGUAUUCAAAUAUGGACAAUGUCUUGAAAUUCUUCUUAAUUGUUGUCUCGUAUAGCAGGUAUUCUGUCUCUAAGAUUUGAGUGAGAGAUAAAGUAGGGGAAGUAGGAGAGAGUGGGGUAAAUUCAGCCAAAGGGUUUGUUGAGCCAUCUUUUGUUUCUAAAAAAGAAUACACAAAAAAAAUUUAAUCGAUGUGACCAAAUAUUUAGGAAGAGGUCAUCAUUUCAUGGAGUGUGGGAAGGAAGAAACCACAUGGAAAAAGUGGUAAGCAAGUUAGGUCCAGAUUGUUUUAUACACUGAACAAAAAUAAAAAAUCUAAAUGUAAAUUGUUGGUCCCAUGUUACGUAAGCUCAAAUAAAA